rnacentral:rRNA from 1 species
CUUGAUAAAAUAUAAGAGGUCCAGCCUGCCCAGUGAUAUAAUUAAACGGCCGCGGUACCCUGACCGUGCAAAGGUAGCAUAAUCACUUGUUCUCUAAAUAGGGACUCGUAUCAACGGCAUCACGAGGGUUAUACUGUCUCCCCCCUCUAAUCAGUGAAACUGACCUCCCCGUGAAGAGGCGGGGAUAUUUAUACAAGACGAGAAGACCCCAUGGAGCUUUAAACCCAAUAACAACCUCCACCAAAGUACCCUAAAAAUGAAGAGGCACUGUUUAUUGGUUUUAGGUUGGGGUGACCACGGAGAAAAACUAAACCUCCAUGACGAAUGGACCUUAAGCCUAAUCUAAGAGCCACUACUCCAAGAAUCAUUAAUUUGACAUAAUUUGAUCCGGCAACCGAUCAACGAACCA